UACGUAGGGUGCAAGCGUUGUCCGGAAUUAUUGGGCGUAAAGAGCUCGUAGGCGGUUUGUCGCGUCGAAUGUGAAAACCCGGGGCUCAACCCCGGGCCUGCAUUCGAUACGGGCAGACUAGAGUUCGGUAGGGGAGUCUGGAAUUCCUGGUGUAGCGGUGAAAUGCGCAGAUAUCAGGAGGAACCCCAGAGGCGAAGGCGGCGCUCUGGCUCGCAACUGACGCUCAGACACGACAGCAUGGGGAGCGAACGGG
rnacentral:rRNA from 1 species